GGUGCACAUGAUGGUGUUUGAGCGAUCAAAGUAUGAAAAAGUCUGAUUACAGCUUUUAACUGCUGAUGCAAC